rnacentral:rRNA from 1 species
UACGGGGGGGGCAAGCGUUGUUCGGAAUUACUGGGCGUAAAGGGCUCGUAGGUGGCCAACUAAGUCAGACGUGAAAUCCCUCGGCUUAACCGGGGAACUGCGUCUGAUACUGGAUGGCUGGAGUUUGGGAGAGGGAUGCGGAAUUCCAGGUGUAGCGGUGAAAUGCGUAGAUAUCUGGAGGAACACCGGUGGCGAAGGCGGGUUGCUGGGCUGACACUGACGCUGAGGCGCGAAAGCUAGGGGAGCGAACGGG